rnacentral:misc_RNA from 1 species
CUGCCCUCAAGCACGGCUUGUGUGUUGGGUCGCCGUCCCCUUCCCGGGGGACGGGCCCGAAAGGCAGCGGCGGCACCGCGUCCGGUCCUCGAGCGUAUGGGGCUUUGUCACCCGCUCUGUAGGCCCGGCCGGCGCCUGCCGACCACCAACCUUUUUUUUUAACCA